GCAGUAGAACGCUGAAAGAGGAGCUUGCUCUUCUUGGAUGAGUUGCGAACGGGUGAGUAACGCGUAGGUAACCUGCCUUGUAGCGGGGGAUAACUAUUGGAAACGAUAGCUAAUACCGCAUAACAAUGGAUGACACAUGUCAUUUAUUUGAAAGGGGCAAUUGCUCCACUACAAGAUGGACCUGCGUUGUAUUAGCUAGUAGGUGAGGUAACGGCUCACCUAGGCGACGAUACAUAGCCGACCUGAGAGGGUGAUCGGCCACACUGGGACUGAGACACGGCCCAGACUCCUACGGGAGGCAGCAGUAGGGAAUCUUCGGCAAUGGGGGCAACCCUGACCGAGCAACGCCGCGUGAGUGAAGAAGGUUUUCGGAUCGUAAAGCUCUGUUGUAAGUCAAGAACGAGUGUGAGAGUGGAAAGUUCACACUGUGACGGUAGCUUACCAGAAAGGGACGGCUAACUACGUGCCAGCAGCCGCGGUAAUACGUAGGUCCCGAGCGUUGUCCGGAUUUAUUGGGCGUAAAGCGAGCGCAGGCGGUUUGAUAAGUCUGAAGUUAAAGGCUGUGGCUCAACCAUAGUUCGCUUUGGAAACUGUCAAACUUGAGUGCAGAAGGGGAGAGUGGAAUUCCAUGUGUAGCGGUGAAAUGCGUAGAUAUAUGGAGGAACACCGGUGGCGAAAGCGGCUCUCUGGUCUGUAACUGACGCUGAGGCUCGAAAGCGUGGGGAGCGAACAGGAUUAGAUACCCUGGUAGUCCACGC
rnacentral:rRNA from 1 species